UGGAAUAAUACCAGGGAUGCAAACUUAAGGCAGCACAGUGACUCAGUGAAGCUCAGUUGACUGGAAAGACGUGUUGUUUGUUGAGUCACAUCAACGUAGGUCGUGACUGUGCAACAAAUGGAAAGUGUACACAACAGGUUGCGUGACAAAGAAUAGGUCUGAUUGCUCCAUCAGUUGUCAGAAUAAGAGGAGUUUGCCAUUGUUGCUACUGAAUAAACCAUCUGCUUAAAACAGAUCUGGCCAUGAGGCGGGACAUUUCUAUGGCAGCAGCUCCAUCUGGACAGGUGAGCCGGUGUGUUAAUGUCACAUAACUAUUUACUUCAUUGUAAUCCCAGGGAAGAAAUAUAUAUGCAAAAUAAGAGAAUAAUUUUAAAAACAAAUGUAUUAGGACACAACCCUAGGGUGUCCCAGGGGUUAUAAGAGGGAGUGGGUUCCCCCUCUGCCUAUGGAGAGGAAGAUCUGCCCUUACAAACCUCCCUAUUGAAGGGGCAGAGACCUCUUCUGCCUCUGCUGCCUCCAAUGGUGGUAACAGCAAACAGUGAGCAGAUCAGAUCUUUCCCCAAACUUGACCCUGAAAUUGGGGGAAAUCAUAUCAGCUGUGAAGCUGGCAUACACCAGCUCCUUCCCCUUCCUCUUUGGUUGGUGUCAGCCUGGCAAAACUUUGGAAUUCUCCCAUCUCCACUUGUCAGGGUGGUUCCACGCAAUCUGGUCUUUCUCAUGGUUGUAGAUGUGCCGCCAGAGUACCAAGUGCAUUCAGUGACAAAUAUCAGCAUGGUCCAUCAUGCACCUUAACUCUUUUGCAGAGGAGGAAUAAUCAUAUAACUGGACAAACUAGAUGUGAAGUUAAUUGAAUGAGUGCAAUGGAUGUGUAUACCAUUUGUUGUGUAAAUCACCUCCACUGAUGUGAAUAGGAGCUUCCUUUCAGAUUGCAAAUUGCAGCUUUGGAGAAGCAGUGCUUGUUGGGACCAAGGAGAGAGAUACCCCUCCACUUUCCCUGCAAUCUCUAGCUUGCUCAGGCUUCCCAGUGGCUGCUAUUUUCAUAACUAAAAACAUAACUGGGCAAUAAAACCCAACCUUGUCCUAGCAGGAAAAAGGGUAAGGUGCAAAUGUGAUGAAUCAAACAGUUUAGGAGACUGGGGUGCUAUUUCAAGGUCUAUAUUCUAUAUUUUAUGUUGCCUUAUGAAUUCCACAUAUUAACUCCUUUCCCCCAAGUUUGGUCAUAACCUUGGACCUGCCAUUGUGGUGCUAUACUACAUCAGGAAUAUGUUUGAAGUAGCCAGACAUAGUAAUUUUGGAAAGUACCCUGUCCAAAAACUGCACAGGCAUCAUUACCUACCUGAAUAUAAGGUAAAGUUAAAGGGACCCCUGACCAUUAGGUCCAGUCGUGGCCGAAUCUGGGGUUGCGGCACUCAUCUCGCUUUAUUGGCCGAGGGAGCCGGCGUACAGCUUCCGGGUCAUGUGGCCAGCAUGACUAAGCUGCUUCUGGUGAACCAGAGCAGUGCACAGAAACGCCGUUUACCUUCCCGCCGGAACGGUACCUGUUUAUCUACUUGCACUUUGGCGUGCUUUCAAACUGCUAGGUUGGCAGGAGCUGGGACUGAGCAAUGGGAGCUCACCCCGUUGCAGGGAUUCGAACCACUGACCUUCUGAUCGGCAAGUCCUAGGCUCUGUGGUUUAACCCACAGCGCCACCUGCGAUCUGAAUAUAAUGAUGUGCUAAACCAAUGGCAGCUACCCUGAACCAUGUGCUGAGGUCACACAACUGGUUGAUUAAGCUUCUUCUUUGUUUAAAGCCAUCCAAAGCUGAAGAUAGCUAUAAAGAAGAAGAAAAGUAAAAAAUUCCAACCAGACACUGGCACACAUUUUUACCAGGUCCUGCAGAGUUCGUCCCCAGUUUGGGCUGGAAGCAUAGCUUCCUGUGAAAACACUGUCAGGUGCAGCCUAUGUGGUGCCAACCAGAUAUUAUGGUACUACAGUUUCCAUAAUCCCUGAUGGUUGGCCAUCUUGAGUGAGGCUGAUGGGAGAUGGCCAUGUUAGCUAACCCUGUGCUAGCUUUUCUUGUAGGCCCAGGCCUAUCUGUUUUCUGAUGUGUUUGGGCUCUUUUCCAGAAAUAGAGGGAUUUUCUGCUGCAGGGAGGGGCAGCUGUAUGUCUCCCCUGUCCUGCUUCUGAUGCCCUGGUGUAUUCAAGAUAAGGAGCUAACAUAGCUCCUUAUCCUAAAUCUCUCUGAUUCUGUGAAAUGACACCCACCCCCAUCCCUUCACUGAAUCAAAACCUUCAGCCAUGGGAUGCGCAUAUGGGAUGCACAUAAUGACUGAAGAUUUCUGAGCCCAUGAAAGUUAAGGAAAAUCCUCCUCUUCACUGCUUCAAAAGGACCUUGGGAUGCAAGGUUUAGUGCAGCUCUCUGAAGGAAGAUAAAAUUUGAAGAAGGAAAAAAGCAUAGCUUCUUUGUUGUCUUGGGGGGCCCUCAGGCAGAGUUCCUUAAUACCUUUAUAGGUAGAUCCUGAGCAUGCUGGCUUGAAGUCCUCAGUUGAGUCAAUGUGACUUGCUUCCUAUUAUGGUUGCUUAAGACUGCAGUGCUAAUGUGAUUGAUUACCGAGUACCUAUAAGGUAAAAGAGUCUGUCAGCAAAGACUCACACCUUUCUAUUGAUCCAGUCAGUUCACUUAUCACUGAUGUUAUUCAGGCCAUUUUCGCUUGAGCAAUCUUUGUUUCUGUCUCCAGCAAUGAUAAUGAUCUUAGAAACAAGUUUCACGCUAGGCCCCGGAGUCUAAUGAGUGUUGUGUGUUAGAUGACAUUGGCUGUGUUGAGGACAAUUGUAGAAGAGAUCAAAUAUUAAUAAAGACUGCAUUUGCCUUAGAUAGGCUUAAAAGCAAUAUCAUAUUCUUGAGGCAUUUCCAGAUGACCUGUUUAUUGAUUGUGCAUCCUGAUUUGUUUGCAGGGUGGUUAGAUGAUGUUAUGUCCAAACAGGUGUUAUCCCCAACUUGCCAGUGCAUCUCCCCCAUCACUUUCCUUACAACAAAAGCCCAGUCUUUUGGAGAAAUGGUUUUGUUGUGCAAGAGCUCAAAAUCAGUUUUAAUUGUUUGCCCUGAAUUUACUCGUAUGUGACUGAACCACACUAAAAAUAGUGAUAAUCAUUAUCCUUAUUUGAUUUAUAUUGUUUAUAUUGGCUCAUUGGUUAUCAAAUCAUCAAAAACAAACCAAGAGACCAUAAGAGCAGCUUUCCUGUAUUUCCUCUUAUUCUUGACAAGUAAUUGUCUUACUGGGGUGGUAACUACAAACACUCAUGCUUUAGGGUACAAUGGAACUGGAGUCCUAAAAGUCCUGUUAAAAUAGGAAGCUGCCUUAUACCAGGUCAGACCAUUCAUUUAGCCAGCCAGCUUCAACUUGGAGGGGAAGAGUUAACAUUUUGGAUUAUAUCUUUUGAUCUAGAGUGCAUAGGAACUCCCUUUAAAAAAAAGGAAGCUAAGAGUCUGGGAUCUCUGCUUGCCUCGGGAACCGGAAAAUCCCACCCUUUCUACCUGUCUAUCAGUGGUUCUUUGUGCAUUUGCAUAAGAGAAAAUGAAUCUACACUUUCUGUUCCAAGUGGCUGUUCCAUAAAUCUAGUUUCUGAACAGGGUCUUAUAUUGACAAUGAUUUUAACUUUCUGUCCUCGGUACUAGUAAUACUAGAUACUAGUAAUCCCUCUUGAGAGAGAGCAGGGCAGAAGCAAAUGGAACAAGGACAGAAUGUAUAGCAUAGUAGCACCAAUAACUAGGCAUUCAUUGCCUUUCCAUUUUAGACUUCUGUGUUUAAUUUUCGACACCAGCUUAAAACUUCUUGUUCCAAUUAUUUACACAAGCUUACCAUGCCAUGUGACCUAUUUUCUUCUGACCUCUGCCCUUUUAUGUUUUUGCCUUUGCUUUUGCUUUGUGAAGUUGAUUUUAUUACAUACACCACUUGGAGAGUACCCCAGUCCCUCUUGAGUUAGUGGUAUAGAGAUUUAAGCAUAAAUAAAUAAUGUGGGAAAAUAUUCCAAGCAAACAAGCCAAAUUAUUCAGACAUCCAUUUAGCAUCAGCAGGAAACUGUCAUGCUUUGGAAUAGAAAGUGACUAUUCCAAGUCAACUGCUGUCAGCAAAAGACAUCCCAUAUGCAACCAGUACUAAAUCCUUAAUGUGUCAAUGUCAUUCCAUGGGGAGGGCAGGAUACCAACUUCUAAUCCUGAGCUCAUCUAGAGAUUUGACAAUAUCAAUAAGUAGUCGUUUGAAGGUCACUGUUCAAUAAAACAAAUAUUCCCCCUAUUGGUUUCGUGAAGGCAGACUUCCUCUUCAGUGAAACCUUCUCCUCCACUUUCGUACUGACUGGACCCUUGCAGUGUAUUUGUUGUUUGUAAUUGGGUCUGGCCAGAGCUGUGUCUCAUCCUGUCCAUUUGCUUUCCAUUUGCUUUCUUUCUAAACUGCCCAAGAGAGUCACCCCUCUCUGAGUUCAAGGAAAGAACAAUUGCAGCUCGGAUAGAAAGGUGAAGGUGAAAGGUCCUUUAAAUGUACCCUAUUUGCUCUACAGAGGAAUGGAACAAAUGUAGAAGAGGGAAGGUCUGUAGUUCAAUGAUUCAGCAUCUGUUUUACACGGGAAAAGAUACCAGGUUUUUUUCCACUAUGCAAGCAAGUUUGGGAUCUUCUAAUUGGCAAAGUGCACUGCAAAAAGCAAACAGUGAAUUCCUGCCAAAAGUUCUGUCACUUGCAUGAGAUGUCACAUAGACCGCAUAAUCUGUCUCUCUCUGAAUGCUCUUCAAAAGUGGUCACCAAUAUAGCGCCCAUGGUUGCCAAUGUGCCCACUUAUACCUGCUAUGGUGCUCAUGAAAGGUCUCAGUAAAUCUUCCUGUAAUCCACAGUAUAUGAUAAAGUGCUCUUCAUGCUAGUUUCUAUUUGCACUGGCUCAGGCUCUACCACAUGCAUGAAUGACAGCCAUUUUGUAUUAUGCCACACCCACAGCAGCCAUUUUGUGACUGGCAACCAUGGCAUUUUAUCAAAAUUCCAAAUGUGGCUACUGGUCCAAAAUGGCUGCUGGCCCUUGCUCGACACCAAAAGAGUCAUUUCCAAGGUCACAGAGUUCUCUUAGCAACACAUAAAUAAGACACUUAGCAACACAUAAAUAAAACUACAGAAAGGUCUCCUUUCAAUUUUAUUGUACUAUGUCUGCAUGGACAUGGGGAAAAAUCUGUAGUAGCAUUUAUGUAGCAUGCACAGCUCAUUCACGGGGCAGCACUUCCCUUUAAUUGUUAUAACAUCUAAAAAAUUCAUCAGCCUAGGGGUGGUGAGGAUAUGGCAAAAUGGAAGAAGACAAGACACAGUGAAGUUGGAAUGCCUUGGCUUAUAUAAUAAUCACCUGGCAGCAGUACAAUGCUGACUCCUAAACAAAGUGCAACAAGGCUAUACAGUCAAUCCAUUAGAUUAUGGCUCUUUUUUACCGUCAGUCUUUCAACAGUACAUGAUUUGAAACUGUUGACACCUGAGCUGAGGAAGAACCUUAAUUCUGUAGCCAAGAAACCUGCCACAAUUUGAUCACAAAAGCAAGGUCAAAAUGCACUAUUAGAAUGCUGAAAUUUGAUCACAUCUGGGACUUCAUUCCCUGCUUUUGUGUCCAUGUUCUUAAACCAACUGAGAGUUUAGCUUUCAGAGGAAGAGGAGAGGGAAAAUGCACAUUUGAUCUGGAAGCAUCUCAGGGAUGUAGAAUGGCCUGGAAUAAUUUUUUUCUCUUGUUAAUUAUGCUGUUUUAAAUGUUCAUUUUAUAUUUGACAUCCCUUAGUAAUGUUUUCUUUUGAAAUGUUCAAGAUAAUUUAUUUGUUAACUUUGAUGCGCUAAAUAUACAUUCUGUAGUUGAUCUCCUUUGUAAUGCUAUAUUUUGAAACCUUUAAGGUAAUAUUUUUGUUUCCUAUUAAUUAUGUUGCUUUGAAUUAGAUUUCACUUUCUUCUGGAAUGUUUUAUCCUGGAUUGUUUCAUUUGAGGUUUUAAUACUGAGAUAUUUUCUUAAACAUAUAAAGUGGCAAAGAAAUAAAAUGAAUUUUUAAGUAAGUAAGUAAGUAAGUAAGUAAGUAGGUAAGUAAGUAAUGGAAACACAGGAAUAACUAGGGACAAAUGUGCCAUUUUAAAAAUGUGCUUGCCAUUUGCCUAGCACCAGACAGGGCUCACAAAGUAAAAACAUGUAACUCACAAAGAAAGUGCUAGUCUGGAUUUGGAGGAAUGAAAUUGUUUACAUCAGGUGUAAUCUUAAGCAUUUUUACACAAAGUCUCUCCAAUAUCAAUGAAACUUUAGUCUCCUAAGUGUGUUCAGGAUUAUGGCCACAACAACUCAUAACUGAGUGCCUGCAGGCAGUGCUGCCUAGCAUCCACUAGGAAGGUGGGAGGCGUAGAGGCCAACAGCAGGCUGAGCCAGAGUUAACUAAUUCUAAUUUUGUCUCCAUCCUCCUGCUGAGUUUGCUACAAAGGGCAACACUGGGACCAUGGAGGAGGAAAGUGAGAGGCAGUGCCACCUUUUACUGGUUGUAAAUAAGAAGCCAGGUAGGUGGCUGGCUGGCUGAGGGCAGAUUAAGGUUGGUGGGGUUGUGCCCCAUUUGGCCUAAAAAAAGGAGCCCUCACUGCCUGCUUCUCACCCUCCCCAAGGUAUUUGAAUAUGAUACGGCUUAAAUUACUCUCCACCCGGUGGCAUCUAAAUGCGAUUCUGCAUGAACUUGCUCCACUCUGUUCUGUAAGCAUUAGAGUUAAAAUCUUAACAUUGCUAAGUUUUUGUGGAUCAAUUUUCCCAUAAGGUCUCAUAUCUGAGGAUGCUUCAGAAGGUAUAGCAAAGAAGAAAUUAUGCCCCUCUGCAUAGUAAUAGAUCUUGGGACCACGUCCUGUACCCUGUUGUGUUAGCAAGCUAUCUCUUGCGAAAUCGGGAACCAGUUCAGGUAGAGGAGAAAACUCUUGUGCAUGUGGUGCUGUGGAACAGAGAGGAGCAUGGGCUGUGUGUUGCCAUAGCAAUGAUGUUCCUUAGGAAUGGGAAGCAAGCUGUUUUUCAAAAGCCAUGAUAAGAUGUGAACCCCCUGAGCAAACAGAAGGAGAAGAAAGGCUGCUGCUUCGUACUUCACAAUUUGGGAAACAUAUUGCUCUUUUUAAAUUAUUUCCCAGUCCUACCUGGAGAUAACUAGGGAUUGUACCUGGGACUAUUUGCAUGCCUAACACAUACUCUGCCAUUCAGCUGUGAUCUUUCCAACUUUCUUAUUACUGGAAAAUAUAUGGAAUAUAAUCUCCUAGAAUCAUAGGGACCCUGAGGAUCAUCCAGUCCUACCCCCUGCAAUGCAGGAAUAGGCAGCUGGAUGGAACCUACAACCUUGGCAUUAUCAGCACCACACUCUAACCAACUGAGCUAUCCAGUCAGUAUAAGAGAAAAUUGCAUAAAUAUUUACUGUGUGUGUGUGUGUGUGUGCGCGCACACACACACACACACGAAAUAUUGUCAUAAUCAAUGCCUGCUUUAUUUAUGUAGCAAGACCCAUCAAAGUGUAUUGCUUAAACAUCUUAAAUAUAUCGCUGCUGUGAAUAUUCUGAUAAGUUUCCAGAUAGCAGGCGCCACAUUUUGCUUUAGCUUGCUCUCCCAGCAUGUGAUGAGUUAAGCUCUAGUCACAUUCAGGACUUGCCCUGAUGGAACAAUUGUCUUAGAGUGAUGUUGAAUUCCUUGCUAUAUUUUUACUUCAAUCCGUUCUUCCUAAUGCACAUAAAGUUGUAAGGUCCUUUACUUGGUACUGACUCCAUGGAGUAAGAUGAAAGCAAGGGCCAUGGCAACAUUCUUGCUAUAUCCAUGUGUAACCAAAGCUCCAGAGUUAAAAUGGAUGUCAUACAUUUCAGGUGAGAGAGAGCUAGAAACACAUGGAUGCAUAUUUCAGAUUCAACUAUCUGAAAGCUGUUUAUCUAUAAGCACUGCCAAGUUGAACCUCAUUUCAACACAUAUCCAUCGAGAUAAAUCUCUCUCUCUCUCUCUCUCUCUCUCUCUCUCUCUCUCUCUCUUAAAAAACACAGCAACCUGGAGAAGAUCCUGAAAAAUCUGUGAUAAUCUUGCAGCUUUCAUUCUGAAAUAUUCUCCCUGUAUAGAUGGUGAGCGGCUGCCUUAAUAUCAAAAUAUGAACUGUCGGGAGUAAAAAUGUAAGAAUAUUAGAAUGCAGGAGCACAUUAUAAUCUCCAGAAGCUCUAAAGGAAAUGAUAAGAAGUGGAGCAUGAAUAUGUAGAAGAAUUUACAGAAGGUGUAAUCUUUUUUUUAUCAUCAUCAUGUGUAUUUAAUCUCAAUGUGCCACAUCACUUCAACUUUAAUCUGAUGUCCACAGGUAGAGUAAAUGUUCUGAGUGAAAGUGUUUGGAAAUGAAAAGAUGAUCAGGACUGAAUUUUUAUGGGGCAUUUGAUGCAUUUCAAUGCAUGGUUUUCGUCUUGUGUUUCAAUCAUUGGUUCCGAAAGCUGGUUUUUCUGGUCUCUUUAUCCCGUAGGUGGCACUGUUGUGCCAUAGCAUGCUUCAGACUUCUAAUGAGCUCAGGAAUGAUCAAGGGAAUGGGAAGGGAAAAACACAUACACAGAGAGAGUGAAGCUAGCAAAAGGGGGGAAAGGAAAUGGGGGUGGUGGUGGUGGUGGAAGAGAAGACUUUUUCAUUUUAAAACUUGCUUAUCUGAAGAUUUCUUCAUAACUUUUUAACUCUUGGAAUUCACUGCUUCUGAAAUGGAAAAGAAAAAAGCUGAUGACUAUUGCUGCAUGACUAGGCUUGGUCUAUAUUCACAUCAGGCCAUGUCAGAAGUGAGAGAAUCCUUUCCUCCAACUCUUAACAGCCUCGCAUCACUAAGGGGGGUACAAAUGGGAUUCUCUGUCCCUGUUCCAGAACAGGGGUCAUAGUUAGUCCACAUGCUUUGCACUCAGAAUGCCCUUGGUGCCUCCCUGGACAUAUCCAGGUAAAAUGAUAAUAUAUACUAGGGCUGGGAAGGCCACUGUCUGAGCUUGUUGCCCUUUCAAGUAUAGGCAAGAUGGCCUGACCCAAAAUAAGGCAGCUUGAUAUGCCCAUAUGCUCCACCAGUCUCAUUGCUCAUCUCCUUCCUUGGCUUUUGGAGUCAGCAGGACAAUUCUGUGCCCUACCACAGGUGGAUGGUCAGGGGAAGAAUAAGGUAUCUGAGGAGAAGGGCUAUCAGUGGCUACAAGUGAAUUGGAGGCAAUAAGGCUUCUGAAAACCAAUUGUUGGAAGCCACAGGAGGGGAGAGUGCUCAUGUGUUCAUGUUCUGCUCACUGGUUUUCCUUUGUAGGAGGGUUAACAAACUGAAGGACAUUGUCUUCUUUCUAUGUUCCUCCUGAUGGAAACAUGCUGAUGGGGACUGAUAAACCCCCACUUUAAGUCGUUUAUAUACGGUCUUCUGUUGUAUAUUACUUACUACAAAGCUCGAUGACUAAGCCCUUUGGGGACAAAAUGUCUGAUUACCAGAGCAACGUUCGAGCACUGAACAACUGAUACAUCGCAAGUGGACUCUUUAUUACUGCGUUCAGAUAAAACCUAUUUCGGGAAGAAACUACUUUUGCCAUUUAAUGGGUGUUUAUUGUUUGCCUCGGUCCAGUAUACCUGAAGGAGCGUCUCCACCCCCAUCGUUCUACCCGGACACUGAGGUCUAGUGCCGAGGGCCUUCUGGCAGGUCCCUCACUGCAAGAAGCCAAGUUACAGGGAACCAGGCAGAGGGCCUUCUCAGUAGUGGCACCCGCCCUGUGGAACGCCCUCCCACCAGAUGUCAAAGAGAAAAACAACUACCAAACAUUUAGAAGACAUCCGAAAGCAGCCCUGUUUAGGGAAGCUUUUAAUGUUUGAUGCACUAUUGUAUUUGCCAAGGAGUGUGGUGGAGUCUCCUUCUUUGGAGGUUUUUAAGCAGAGGCUUGACAACCAUAUGUCAGGAGUGCUCUGAUGGUGUUUCCUGCUUGGCAGGGGGUUGGACUCGAUGGCCCUUGUGGUCUCUUCCAACUCUAUGAUUCUAUGAUUCUAUGAUUUUAAUAUGUUGUUGGAAGCCGUCCAGAGUGGCUGGGAAAACCCAGCCAGAUGGGUGGGGUAUUAAUAAUAAUAAUAAUAAUAAUAAUAAUAAUAGACAGAUAGUUGCCUUGAUAUUAUCUUGCGUCUAUUGCAGAAGACAUUAUAUCACCACCCUGUUUAUUUUUUUCAUUGUAAUCCACACUAGAAGCAUCCUGGAGGACCGACUCAGAGGGAUUUAUUUACCACUGGAAGAUCUAUUAUCUUCACUUUUGUAGUGCAAGUUCUUCUGAGAUUUCCCCAGCACUGACUCCUAUAUAAGAUGAACAGUGAAUUUGCACUAGCAUGGAUAAUUUGGAUUAUUGAAAACUACCCAGAAAGCUACCCAGAUCUCACAGGAAAACAGAGGGGCCAAGAACUUAAAACAGGCAUAAGCAAACUCGGCCCUCCAGAUGUUUUGGGACUACAACUCCCAUCAUCCCUGAUCACUGGUCCUGUUAGCUAGAGAUGAUGGGAGUUGUACUCCCAAAACAUCUGGAGGGCCAAGUUUGCCCAUGCUUGUCUUAAAACAUAACAUACUAAUUUCUAGACUUUCAGCACUAUUAGGGGGACAGCUCCCUGGCUUCCCAGUGAUAACUAAAGCUCACCAUCCCAACUUUUUAUGAACAGUUCCUGAGGACAUAGGGACUUGGAUCAUUUGGGGGAAGCAAGGUGACUUGGUUGGACUGAAAAAGGUUUUUUAACAUGCAAGAAAACAAAAUAUAUUGAAGUAGAACACAGUUUGCCUGGGGCUGAGACCAGUUACCAAAGAGGUGAUUGUACCAUUUCAGUCUGCAGGUAGUGGCUUACAUAACAAAAUGCUCUGUCAAGGGGGGAAAGAAUCCAAGCACAUGGCCAAACUGGGGUUAGCCACAUGAUUAAUCCCAGCUUGCAGUAUUUUUAAAACAUUGCAGAUGCAGAAGCCAUGGUCAAUUAUUCUGUGAACUACCCUGAGACCUCCAGGUAUAGGGCACUAUAUAGAUACAAUAAAUAAAACAAUAAUAAUAAUACCUUGGGAGAGCUGUAAGGGGGCUUAAAUCCUUUGCUCUCUGCAGCAUGUGUAGUCCAGAUCAUCCCCUCUCCAUGCUUUGGGGAAAAGCUCUCUCUAGAGCAAAUGGGAAUUUCUUCGUAUAUAUUGCAGAUUGCAAACUGUAGAUUGUAGAUUGGGAAUCAAUGGGGAGUUUACUGCCUCAGUGAUAACUAAGCUCAAUAGGGAAAUUUCACUGAAAAUACCCAACUAUACCCAAAGUUGGGGUUCACAAUUCAGUAGUGUGGAUUUGAUUUUUACAUAUGAGGUCCUAAAUCAACCUUCCCCAACGUGGUGUCCUGCAGGUGGUUUAGAUUACAGCCCCAUUCAGUUCCAGCCAGCAUUGUGAAUGGCCAGGAAUGAUGGAAGAUGUAGUCCAACAAUAUCUGGAGAGUCAGAGGUUAGUCACCCCUCGUUUAGACCAUGUAAUGUACAGAAAUCAGUAAGCAAG